rnacentral:lncRNA from 1 species
AAAGAGAAACCCAUAAAAGACUGACCAUAGAGACUUCAGGAGUUUGUCAAUCCUGAAGAGAAAAAGCCUAUAGAAAAAAAAGCAAAAGUUGAACACAGAAAGGAGCAGUCAGGAUGGCAACACAGAGAUAAAAGAAGCCACCUUUUCUCUCCUUUCAAGACAUGGAACCAUGCACAAGAUUGAAUUGCCUCUGGACUAUGGAAGAUCUGAAAUGCUUCCCUAAGGAGAGGCCAGAGGAUUUCCUCAGCCCAGUGGUAUUCCCCUAUGAGUACAUCCAUGGCUCUUCUUCCUCUUCUUAUAAGGACACCAUUCCUAUCAAAGAUCCCACAGAUGUGCAUCUCUUCAUCAUCAGACAAAUAGACUUAAAGCCAACUCAUUGUUACUCUCGUCAUCAAUAAAGGAAGAAGAAGUAAAGAAGGUAAAGUGCAGAUAAGAGAUUGCAGUAUCCUGAAACCAGAUGCAGAUGAGAGGUUGCAGUAUCCUGAAGCCUACAAACUGAGACACUAGUUACUUGCACCAUACACAUGUAAUAAAAUGAUGAUAUAAGAAUACAUAUUUCAUUGAGAAAACCUGGGAAACACAUUAGCUGAUAGCCAGUUGGAAUUAGCAAAUAAUGUUCGGCAUAAAAAAUAGAGACUCUACUUCAGGAGUAGAGCAAGUUUUCUGUUUAGACUACACUCUAAGCUUUUGAUUCUUCUCUUUGGGAGGAUAUCCUUUCUCUAUUGUACUUUGUGACCUCUUCAUCAUGUGUUAUACAUUUGCCUUUGGGUGCACAUUCUUGAGGGACAUAGAGAUUUCAUAGCACAUUUCAUGCUGAUGAAAUUUGGACAUGCUAUAACAUGGAUGUACCGUCAUGGGGAUUCCUUAAGGCUUUUAAUGUUGGGUCCAAUAAUUGGGUCCAAUUCAGAUUUAUUUUUCAAUAAAAUUUCUUGAAAAAUGUAGUAAAUUUC